rnacentral:rRNA from 1 species
GCAGCAGCCACGGUAAUACAGAGGGUGCGAGCGUUAAUCGGAUUUACUGGGCGUAAAGCGUGCGUAGGCGGCUUUUUAAGUCGGAUGUGAAAUCCCUGAGCUUAACUUAGGAAUUGCAUUCGAUACUGGGAAGCUAGAGUAUGGGAGAGGAUGGUAGAAUUCCAGGUGUAGCGGUGAAAUGCGUAGAGAUCUGGAGGAAUACCGAUGGCGAAGGCAGCCAUCUGGCCUAAUACUGACGCUGAGGUACGAAAGCAUGGGGAGCAAACAGGAUUAGAUACCCGAGUAGUCCCUGUCUCUUAUAC